GUGCUCGCUUCAGCAGUACAUAUACUAAAAUUGGAACGAUACAGAGAAGAUUAUCAUGGCCCCUGCACAAGGAUGACACGCAAAUUCAUGGAAAAAAAAUUAAAUAA